GACGAACGCUGGCGGCGCGCUUAACACAUGCACGUCGAACGGAAAGGCCCUGCUUUUGUGGGGUGCUCGAGUGGCGAACGGGUGAGUAACACGUGAGUAACCUGCCCUUGACUUUGGGAUAACUUCAGGAAACUGGGGCUAAUACCGGAUAGGAGCUCCUGCUGCAUGGUGGGGGUUAGAAAGUUUCGGCGGUUGGGGAUGGACUCGCGGCUUAUCAGCUUGUUGGUGGGUUAGUGGCUUACCAAGGAUUUGAAGGGUAGCCGGCCUGAGAGGGUGACCGGCCACAUGGGGACUGAGGUACGGCCCAGACUCCUACGGGAGGCAGCAGUUGGGAAUAUUGCACAAUGGGCGGGAGCCUGAUGCAGCCACGCCGCGUGCGGGAUGACGGCCUUCGGGUUGUAAACCGCUUUCGCCUGUGACGAAGCGUGAGUGACGGUAAUGGGUAAAGAAGCACCGGCUAACUACGUG
rnacentral:rRNA from 1 species